rnacentral:lncRNA from 1 species
AUGACAACUCAGAAAACAAAGUUAUUUGGAUAUUUCAAGAGACAUUGUUUGUUUGAGAGCAGCAGAUUACACUGCAGAACAAGUAUAAAAACAAUGUUUUGAGUAUAUCGACAACCACAAUCGGGCUCUUGUUGCUUGCCAAAACCUUUCUAUUUCUAUCAACAAAAUCUGUUCAGCAGAAACCAUUUCAAUACUGCUACCACCACUCAUCUUCACAAUUCACACCACCCAAAUCAAGAUCUAUAAUAUCAUCAUUAAACACAAUUUCCUCAAACACUAGUGUUCCUAAGUUAAAUCCCACUCAAGAAAUUGAAUAAAUCACUCGGAUCUUAUCCGAAUUUAACCCGAACUCACGAAU